GUGUCAGCCGCCGCGGUAACACGUAGGGGGCGAGCGUUGUCCGGAUUUAUUGGGCGUAAAGAGCUCGUAGGCGGUUCCGUCAGUCGGGUGUGAAAACUCUGGGCUCAACCCAGAGACGCCACCCGAUACUGCGGUGACUAGAGUCCGGUAGGGGAGUGCGGAAUUCCUGGUGUAGCGGUGAAAUGCGCAGAUAUCAGGAGGAACACCAACGGCGAAGGCAGCACUCUGGGCCGGUACUGACGCUGAGGAGCGAAAGCGUGGGGAGCGAACAGGAUUAGAUACCCUGGUAGUCCACGCCGUAAACGUUGGGCACUAGGUGUGGGACCUUUCCAACGGGUUCCGUGCCGCAGCUAACGCAUUAAGUGCCCCGCCUGGGGAGUACGGCCGCAAGGCUAAA
rnacentral:rRNA from 1 species